CACGUAGGGGCCAAGCGUUGUCCGGAUUUAUUGGGCGUAAAGAGCGUGUAGGCGGCCAGGUAGGUCUGGUGUGAAAACUCGAGGCUUAACCUCGAGAUGUCAUCGGAAACCAUCUGGCUAGAGUCCGGAAGAGGAGAGUGGAAUUCCUGGUGUAGCGGUGAAAUGCGCAGAUAUCAGGAAGAACACCAAUGGCGAAAGCAGCUCUCUGGGACGGUACUGACGCUGAGACGCGAAAGCGUGGGGAGCGAACAGG
rnacentral:rRNA from 1 species